rnacentral:rRNA from 1 species
GCCCUUCCUACGGGAGGCAGCAGUGGGGAAUAUUGCACAAUGGGCGAAAGCCUGGUGCAGCGACGCCGCGUGAGCGAAGAAGUAUUUCGGUAUGUAAAGCUCUAUCAGCAGGGAAGAAAAUGACGGUACCUGACUAAGAAGCCCCGGCUAACUACGUGCCAGCAGCCGCGGUAAUACGUAGGGGGCAAGCGUUAUCCGGAUUUACUGGGUGUAAAGGGAGCGUAGGCGGCAAGGCAAGUCUGAUGUGAAAACCCGGGGCUCAACCCCGGGACUGCAUUGGAAACUGCUUAGCUAGAGUGUCGGAGAGGUAAGUGGAAUUCCUAGUGUAGCGGUGAAAUGCGUAGAUAUUAGGAGGAACACCAGUGGCGAAGGCGACUUACUGGACGAUAACUGACGCUGAGGCUCGAAAGCGUGGGGAGCAAACAGGAUUAGAUACCCCGGUAGUCCACGCCGUAAACGAUGAAUACUAGGUGUCGGGUGGCAAAGCCAUUCGGUGCCGCAGCUAACGCAAUAAGUAUUCCACCUGGGGAGUACGUUCGCAAGAAUGAAACUCAAAGGAAUUGACGGAAGGGC